AUUGAACGCUGGCGGCAGGCCUAACACAUGCAAGUCGGGCGAGAGGCGGACGUGUGAGUACUGUAUGGGGACCUGCCCGAUGGAGGGGGAUAACUACUGGAAACGGUAGCUAAUACCGCAUACCCUCAGAUGAACCCAUAUGGGAUUAGCUUGUAGGUAAGGUAACGGCUUACCUAGGCGACGAUCCCUAGCUGGUCUGAGAGGAGGAACAGCCACACUGGGACUGAGACACGGCCCAGACUCCUACGGGAGGCAGCAGUAGGGAAUCUUGGACAAUGGCGGAAAUCCUGACCCAGCAAUGCCGCGUGGGGGAAGAAGGUUUUCGGGUCGUAAAGCUCUUUUGUUAGGGAAGCGGUACCUGACCAAAAAGCAACGGCUAACUACGUGCCAGCAGCCGCGGUAAUAC
rnacentral:rRNA from 1 species